rnacentral:lncRNA from 1 species
CCAGAUCAUCUACUCUCACAUGUUUUCACAUUUUACAACAUUAAACUUCAACAAACUUCCACCUUUUUGAUUAAUUUAGCACCUUAGAGACAUUUUAUCAAAGGUAGAGCAUGCAUUGCUUAAUUCUUUGAUUUUCUAUGAAUUUGAUGCAUGAUUAACCCAUAUCUUUUGUUGUUAAUGAUCUAUAAUCAUCAAACAACAGUAACAUG